GCCUCCGUAGUGAAACGGAUAUCACCACAGGCUUCGAACCUGUUAUUGGGGGUUCAAAUCCCUCCGGAGGUA
rnacentral:tRNA from 1 species